CCUACGGGAGGCAGCAGUAGGGAAUCUUUCACAAUGGGCGAAAGCCUGAUGGAGCAACGCCGCGUGCAGGAUGAAGGCCUUCGGGUUGUAAACUGCUUUUAUAAGCGAGAAAUAUGAUGGUAACUUAUGAAUAAGGAUCGGCUAACUACGUGCCAGCAGCCGCGGUCAUACGUAGGAUCCGAGCAUUAUCCGGAGUGACUGGGUGUAAAGAGUUGCGUAGGUGGCAUAAUAAGUAGCUAGGGAAAUCUGCUGGCUCAACCAUUCGGACUAUUGGCUAAACUGGUAAGCUCGAGACCGUUAGGGGUAACUGGAAUUUCUGGUGUAGGAGUGAAAUCCGUAGAUAUUAGGAGGAACACCAAUAGCGAAGGCAGGUUACUGGGACGGUUCUGACACUAAGGCACGAAAGCGUAGGUAGCAAACGGGAUUAGAUACCCUUGUAGUC
rnacentral:rRNA from 1 species